GCAGCCAUCCUUUAAAGAAAGCGUAAUAGCUCACUGAUCUAAAUAAGACGUCCUGCGCCGAAGAUGUAACGGGGCUAAAGCCAUAUACCGAAGUUACGGGAUUGUAUUGCAAUAGAUACAAUCGGUAGCGGAGCGUUCUGUAGGCCUGCGAAGGUGAACCGUAAGGUUUGCUGGAGGUAUCAGAAGUGAGAAUGCUGACAUGAGUAGCGAAAAGAAGAGUGAGAGACUCUUCCGCUGAAAGUCCAAGGUUUCCUGCGUAAAGCUAAUCUGCGCAGGGUUAGUCGGCCCCUAAGGCGAGGCAGAGAUGCGUAGCUGAUGGGAACACGGUUAAUAUUCCGUGACCAGUUAGGAAGUGACGGAUACAGUAGUUUGUACAUGCUUAAUGGAUUGUGUGUGCAAGUGAUGUGUCCCGGGAAAUAGCCCUAACGAAGACCGUACCCGAAACCGACACAGGUGGACAGGUAGAGUAUACUAAGGCGCUUGAGAGAACUAUGUUGAAGGAACUAGGCAAAAUGCUUGUGUAACUUCGGGAUAAGCAAGCCCGGUUUUAAGGCAACUUAAGGCCGGGGGCACAUACUAGGGGGUAGCGACUGUUUAACAAAAACACAGGACUCUGCGAAAUUGAAAGAUGAAGUAUAGGGUCUGACGCCUGCCCGGUGCCGGAAGGUUAAGGAGAGAUGUGAGAGCAUUGAAUUGAAGCCCCGGUAAACGGCGGCCGUAACUAUAACGGUCCUAAGGUAGCGAAAUUCCUUGUCGGGUAAGUUCCGACCUGCACGAAUGGCGUAAGGACUUCCCCGCUGUCUCCAACAUAGGCUCAGCGAAAUUGAAUUCUGAGUUAAGAUGCUCAGUACCCGCGGUUAGACGGAAAGACCCCGUGAACCUUUACUAUAGCUUUGCAGUGGUAUUAGGUAAGACAUGUGUAGGAUAGGUGGGAUGCUAUGAAGGUAGGACGCUAGUUUUACUGGAGCAGACGUUGAAAUACCACCCUUGUGUUAUUUGAUAUCUAACCUACUUCCGUAAACCGGAAGAGGGACCCUGCAUGGUGGGUAGUUUGACUGGGGCGGUCGCCUCCCAAAGAGUAACGGAGGCGCGCGAAGGUUGGCUCAGAUUGGUCGGAAAUCAAUCGUUGAGUGCAAUGGCAUAAGCCAGCCUGACUGCGAGAGCGACGGUUCGAGCAGAGACGAAAGUCGGUCAUAGUGAUCCGGUGGUCCCGAGUGGAAGGGCCAUCGCUCAACGGAUAAAAGGUACUCCGGGGA
rnacentral:rRNA from 1 species